CAAGUUCUAAACCAGCAAUGUAAAGAGCUAAGAAUUGCUUCAUGCUGAACUAGCCCAGCCCUGGGGCUGAUUAGUGGAAUCCACUGCAAGAUAAUUUGUUAUUCAUACUUAUCCAUCCACCUCCCGCUGGGCUGAGAUAAAGAGCCUACAUUCAAAAAACAUACCCAGCACUGAUUCAUCUCCUGGAAGUUAUCAGCAGCAUCUGUUGUCUCUGGUAAAGAUGAAGAUUUUCAGCCUAAAUCACAAUACUUACUCCAUGCAGCACUUGAUUGGUCUGGGGAGGUGAUGUGAAUCCCCUCCUACAGUCAUGGCUGUUUAAUGCCGUAGUGGAAUUUUGUCUAUUUUACAGGUACAUGGAGAUUUUCUAUUACUCUCUGGUGCCAUUUCCACCAGUGCAAAAUCAGUGUCAACUGCUGCCUCCCAGCCUUUAGCUAGGCUGUUUCACAAGAUGCAGGAUAGCAAAAUUUUUUUUUUCCCCCCAGAUAAUUGGAAAAUGAAAUAAAACACAUCAUUAAGUUUCCA
rnacentral:lncRNA from 1 species